GGAAGGAUCAUUAGUAGAUGAGAUAGUCCGAGUGCGUUAGCACGAGGAUGGGAGGCGUUAGCCGACCGUGGGGAGGGCGCUAGCCCGACCUGAGUCUGCGGGCGAGAGCCCGUGGUGUGGCGAGGGAGUAAUGUCUCUGGCUGCUGAGCAUGUAGCAUCAGUCAUAAAACAAGACAAACAACAGAUACAACUCUCAACAAUGGAUCUCUUGGCUCCUGCAUCGAUGAAGAACGCAGCGAAAUGCGAAACGUGAUGCGAUUUGCACAACCUGUGAGUCAUUGAGUUUUUGAACGCACUUGGCGCGAGAGGCAGACUCUCGCAUACCUGUCUGAGCAGCGGUUAUGAUGUAGAUUGAGCGCUAGUUUUUGACUGUCGCUUGAAAUUAGCGUUGAGUGUGUGAUGAGUGGGGGAUGUUUCUCUCGCACUGGCGCUCGACAACGGAGCAUGCCGCAUGGCACGUUCUAUACCUCACGCUCUCAGAUCAGGCAGGACUACCCGCUGAACUUAAGCAUAUCAGUAAGCGGAGGAAGAGAAACUAACAAGGAUUCCCCCAGUAACGGCGAGUGAAGCGGGAAGAGCCCAUAUUUGGAAUCGCGCGAAAGCGUGAGUUGUAGGGUGGAGAGGUAAAGAGAGGAGGAUGUAUUGUCGUGUUCAAGUCGCCUGGAACGGCGCGCCACAGAGGGUGAGAGCCCCGUCUGGACACGCAUCACACCCCACGCACUUUACCUUGACGAGUCGAGCUGCUUGGGAAUGCAGCUCAAAGGGGUGGUAAUCUCCAUCCAAGGCUAAAUAGUGGCAGGAGACCGAUAGCGAACAAGUACCGUGAGGGAAGGAUGAAAAGGACCCCGAAAGGGGGGUUAAAAGUGCGUGAAAUUGUUGAGGGGGAAGCGAUCGCGGUUUGGGGAGGGAGUGAAGGUUGUUGUUGAGUCUGCGGAGGAGACGGCAAACGCAUUCCUCAUGUGUGAGUGUGGGUGAGUGGUGGACAAGGAGGGGACGGGUAAUGCGGGUGAAUGCUCGCACGCCGCCGCCCGACACGCCACUUGCCCACGCGCACACGGUCCAUGCCUUGAACGACCCGUCUUGAAACACGGACCAAGGAGUCCAGCGGGCAUGCGAGUAUUUGGGCGUGGAUGCCCGAGUGCGGAGCGAAAGCGACGGAUGGACGGGGGUUGGGAUAGUAUCCUCGCUCCUUGCACAUCCAAGGUGCGCGUGCGCUGUCACGCGUGCACUUGAGCAUGGACGCUGGGACCCGAAAGAUGGUGAACUAUGCCCGAGGAGGGCGAAGCCAGGGGAAACUCUGGUGGAGGCUCGUAGCCGUUCUGACGUGCAAAUCGAUGGUCGCACUUGGGUAUAGGGGCGAAAGACUAAUCGAACCAUCUAGUAGCUGGUUCCCUU
rnacentral:misc_RNA from 1 species